ACUGAUUAUAAGAAAAAUUCCCAAAUUAAUUAGGUGAUCACUCCAAUUGAGUUAGAAAAAUUCCUUGGAAAAUAAAACCAAACAACUCAAGAGUGCCGAAUUUGAUUUGAUAACAAAAUAAUUUUUUUCAAAGUACUAGUGCCCGGUUUCAGAAGUGUCGAACUAAGCUUAACUAAACUAGCCUCUCAUAGCUAGCAAAACAGAACACGAAUCCAUUGAAAAGAACAUGAAUUACAAACUGAUUCUUGGAAGGCAAAGUUCUUCAAGUCGUCCGAUUUCCCUUCUCCUAAUUAGCUGAAUUUUCUAGCUGCUACUCUAGCUCCUUGAUCGGAUUCGCUGGCCCAAUUUUUAGAAAAUUC
rnacentral:lncRNA from 1 species